UUAAGCGACUAAGCGUACACGGUGGAUGCCCUGGCAGUCAGAGGCGAUGAAGGACGUGCUAAUCUGCGAUAAGCGUCGGUGAGGUGAUAUGAACCGUUAUAACCGGCGAUUUCCGAAUGGGGAAACCCAGUGUGUUUCGUCACACUAUCAUUAACUGAAUCCAUAGGUUAAUGAGGCGAACCGGGGGAACUGAAACAUCUAAGUACCCCGAGGAAAAGAAAUCAACCGAGAUUCCCCCAGUAGCGGCGAGCGAACGGGGAGGAGCCCAGAGCCUGAAUCAGUGUGUGUGUUAGUGGAAGCGUAUGGAAAGGCGCGCGAUACAGGGUGACAGCCCCGUACACAAAAAUGCACAUGCUGUGAGCUCGAUGAGUAGGGCGGGACACGUGGUAUCCUGUCUGAAUAUGGGGGGACCAUCCUCCAAGGCUAAAUACUCCUGACUGACCGAUAGUGAACCAGUACCGUGAGGGAAAGGCGAAAAGAACCCCGGCGAGGGGAGUGAAAAAGAACCUGAAACCGUGUACGUACAAGCAGUGGGAGCACAGAGCAAUCUGUGUGACUGCGUACCUUUUGUAUAAUGGGUCAGCGACUUAUAUUCUGUAGCAAGGUUAACCGAAUAGGGGAGCCGAAGGGAAACCGAGUCUUAACUGGGCGUUAAGUUGCAGGGUAUAGACCCGAAACCCGGUGAUCUAGCCAUGGGCAGGUUGAAGGUUGGGUAACACUAACUGGAGGACCGAACCGACUAAUGUUGAAAAAUUAGCGGAUGACUUGUGGCUGGGGGUGAAAGGCCAAUCAAACCGGGAGAUAGCUGGUUCUCCCCGAAAGCUAUUUAGGUAGCGCCUCGUGAAUUCAUCUCCGGGGGUAGAGCACUGUUUCGGCAAGGGGGUCAUCCCGACUUACCAACCCGAUGCAAACUGCGAAUACCGGAGAAUGUUAUCACGGGAGACACACGGCGGGUGCUAACGUCCGUCGUGAAGAGGGAAACAACCCAGACCGCCAGCUAAGGUCCCAAAGUCAUGGUUAAGUGGGAAACGAUGUGGGAAGGCCCAGACAGCCAGGAUGUUGGCUUAGAAGCAGCCAUCAUUUAAAGAAAGCGUAAUAGCUCACUGGUCGAGUCGGCCUGCGCGGAAGAUGUAACGGGGCUAAACCAUGCACCGAAGCUGCGGCAGCGACGCUUAUGCGUUGUUGGGUAGGGGAGCGUUCUGUAAGCCUGCGAAGGUGUGCUGUGAGGCAUGCUGGAGGUAUCAGAAGUGCGAAUGCUGACAUAAGUAACGAUAAAGCGGGUGAAAAGCCCGCUCGCCGGAAGACCAAGGGUUCCUGUCCAACGUUAAUCGGGGCAGGGUGAGUCGACCCCUAAGGCGAGGCCGAAAGGCGUAGUCGAUGGGAAACAGGUUAAUAUUCCUGUACUUGGUGUUACUGCGAAGGGGGGACGGAGAAGGCUAUGUUGGCCGGGCGACGGUUGUCCCGGUUUAAGCGUGUAGGCUGGUUUUCCAGGCAAAUCCGGAAAAUCAAGGCUGAGGCGUGAUGACGAGGCACUACGGUGCUGAAGCAACAAAUGCCCUGCUUCCAGGAAAAGCCUCUAAGCAUCAGGUAACAUCAAAUCGUACCCCAAACCGACACAGGUGGUCAGGUAGAGAAUACCAAGGCGCUUGAGAGAACUCGGGUGAAGGAACUAGGCAAAAUGGUGCCGUAACUUCGGGAGAAGGCACGCUGAUAUGUAGGUGAGGUCCCUCGCGGAUGGAGCUGAAAUCAGUCGAAGAUACCAGCUGGCUGCAACUGUUUAUUAAAAACACAGCACUGUGCAAACACGAAAGUGGACGUAUACGGUGUGACGCCUGCCCGGUGCCGGAAGGUUAAUUGAUGGGGUUAGCGGUAACGCGAAGCUCUUGAUCGAAGCCCCGGUAAACGGCGGCCGUAACUAUAACGGUCCUAAGGUAGCGAAAUUCCUUGUCGGGUAAGUUCCGACCUGCACGAAUGGCGUAAUGAUGGCCAGGCUGUCUCCACCCGAGACUCAGUGAAAUUGAACUCGCUGUGAAGAUGCAGUGUACCCGCGGCAAGACGGAAAGACCCCGUGAACCUUUACUAUAGCUUGACACUGAACAUUGAGCCUUG
rnacentral:rRNA from 2 species